rnacentral:rRNA from 1 species
UACGUAGGAGGCGAGCGUUUGUCCGGAGUUACUGGGCGUAAAGCGCACGCAGGCGGUCAGAUCAGUCUGGAGUGACAGUCGUCGGCUUAACCGACGAAGUGUUCUGGAAACUGUCUGACUUGAGGGCUUCAGAGGGACACGGAAUUCCGGGUGGAGUGGUGAAAUGCGUAGAUAUCCGGAGGAACACCAAUGGCGAAGGCAGUGUCCUGGGA